AAUCCAUGCAUUGGACAUUUUCACAACAAUUCUUUGAAUAUCUCCCAUGCCUCAUAUAAGUUCUCAUAUUCUAAUUGUUUAAAAUAUGUCAAUUUAUUUUGCAGCUU